UACAGAGGUCUCAAGCGUUGGUCGGAUUCAUUGGGCGUAAAGGGUGCGUAGGUGGCGGGGCAAGUUUGGUGUGAAAUCCCGGGGCUCAACCCCGGAACUGCACUGAAUACUGCCUUGCUUGAGCACUGGAGAGGGAACUGGAAUUUACGGUGUAGCAGUGAAAUGCGUAGAUAUCGUAAGGAAGACCAGUGGCGAAGGCGAGUUCCUGGACAGUUGCUGACACUGAGGCACGAAGGCUAGGGGAGCAAACGGG
rnacentral:rRNA from 1 species